CUCCAGCAGACCCUCCCUCCCAGACCCUCCUACUUCCUGGACAGCAUCCAUGUUUCAACAUGGAUGCUGUCCAGGAAGUAGGAGGGCCUGGGAGGGAGGGUCUGCUGGAG